GGCCGCGUAGUCAAGUGGUAAGACAAGGGACUGCAAAUCCCUUAUACGGGAGUUCGAUUCUCCCCGCGGCCU
rnacentral:tRNA from 1 species